GUGACCUCAAAUCAGGUAGGACUACCCGCUGAACUUAAGCAUAUCAAUAAGCGGAGGAAAAGAAACUAACAAGGAUUCCCCUAGUAACUGCGAGUGAAGCGGGAAAAGCUCAAAUUUAAAAUCUGGCAGUCUUUGGCUGUCCGAGUUGUAAUCUAGAGAAGUGUUAUCCGCGCUGGACCGUGUACAAGUCUCCUGGAAUGGAGCGUCAUAGAGGGUGAGAAUGCGCUCUCAAAGAGUCGAGUUGUUUGGGAAUGCAG
rnacentral:rRNA from 1 species